rnacentral:snRNA from 1 species
CGGUGCUCGCUUCGUUCCACUAAAAUUGGAACGGUACAGAGAUUAGCAUGGACCCUGCGCAAGGAUGACAUGCAAAUUUGUGAAGCGUUCCAUAUUUUU